ACCGAUAUGCUUUGGGGAGCUGUACGUAAGCGUUGAUCCAGAGAUUUCCGAAUGGGGGAACCCACUAUCUUUAGUCGGAUAGUAUCCUUACGUGAAUACAUAGCGUGAGGAAGGCAGACCCAGGGAACUGAAACAUCUAAGUACCUGGAGGAAGAGAAAGAAAAAUCGAUUUCCUGAGUAGCGGCGAGCGAAACGGAAAGAGCCCAAACCAAGAAGCUUGCUUCUUGGGGUUGUAGGACACUCUAUACGGAGUUACAAAAGAAAGUUAUAAAUGAAGCGGUCUGGAAAGGCCCGCCAAAGACGGUAACAGCCCGGUAGUUGAAAUAGCUUUCCCUCCAGAGUGGAUCCUGAGUACGGCGGAACACGUGAAAUUCCGUCGGAAUCCGGGAGGACCAUCUCCCAAGGCUAAAUACUCCCUAGUGACCGAUAGUGAACCAGUACCGUGAGGGAAAGGUGAAAAGCACCCCGGAAGGGGAGUGAAACAGUUCCUGAAACCGUGUGCCUACAAGUAGUUAGAGCCCGUUAAUGGGUGAUAGCGUGCCUUUUGUAGAAUGAACCGGCGAGUUACGAUUUGU
rnacentral:rRNA from 1 species